GGGGACGUGGCGGAAUUUGGCAGACGCGCAUGGCUUAGGACCAUGUGCCUCACGGCGUGCGGGUUCGAGUCCCGCCGUCCCCA
rnacentral:tRNA from 1 species